rnacentral:rRNA from 1 species
GAUGAACGCUGGCGGCGUGCCUAAUACAUGCAAGUCGAGGGGAAACGAUAGAGAAAGCUUGCUUUUUCUAGGCGUCGACCGGCGCACGGGUGAGUAACGCGUAUCCAACCUGCCCAUCACUUGGGGAUAACCUUGCGAAAGUAAGACUAAUACCCAAUGACGUCUCUAGAAGACAUCUGAAAGGGAUUAAAGAUUUAUCGGUGAUGGAUGGGGAUGCGUCUGAUUAGCUUGUUGGCGGGGUAACGGCCCACCAAGGCGACGAUCAGUAGGGGUUGUGAGAGGAAGGUCCCCACAUUGGAACUGCGAGACGGUCCAAACUCCUACGGGAGGCAGCAGUGAGGAAUAUUGGUGAAUGGACGAGAGUCUGAACCAGCCAAGUAGCGUGCAGGAUGACGGCCCUAUGGGUUGUAAACUGCUUUUAUAAGGGAAUAAAGUGGGAGUCGUGACUCUUUUUGCAUGUACCUUAUGAAUAAGGACCGGCUAAUUCCGUGCCAGCAGCCGCAGUAA